rnacentral:lncRNA from 1 species
AUGCAGAUUUUUGUGAAGACCCUUAUGGGGAAACCAUCACGUUACGGCCAAGAUCCAGGAUAAGGAAGGAAUUCCUCCUGAUCAGCAGAGGCUGAUCUUUGCUGGUAAGCAGCUGGAAGAUGGCCGGGCUUUGUCUGACUACAACAUUCCUAAGGAGUCCACCCUUCAUCUGGUGUUGAGACUUCGGGUGGUGCUAAGAGAAGGAAGAAGUCUUACACCACUCCCAAGAAGAGUAAGCAUAAGAGGAAGAAGUCUAAGUUGGCUGUGCUGAAAUACUAUAAGGCGGACCAAAACGUCAAAAUAGCCGACUUCGUCGAGAGUUGUCCUUCUGUUGAGUGUGGUGCUGGAGUUUUCAUGGGAAGCCACUUUGACAGGCAUUACUGUGGCAAGUGUUGUCUGACCUAACUGCUUCAACAAACCAGAAGACAAGUAG